UGCGCAGGCGGGAGGAUAGGUCGGAUGUGAAAACCCCGGGCUCAACCCGGGGCCUGCAUCCGAAACCAUUCUUCUUGAGUAUCGGAGAGGGAAGCGGAACUCCAGGUGUGGCGGUGAAAUGCGUAGAUAUCUGGGGGAACACCGGUGGCGAAGGCGGCUUCCUGGACGAAUACUGACGCUCAUGCACGAAGGCUAGGGGAGCAAACA
rnacentral:rRNA from 1 species